UUUUAUAACAUAUUUUUAAACAAAAUAUUAAAGUAAGAUAUAUAAACUAAUAAAUCAUUUCAUAUUUCAACAUACAUAUUUAAAUUGUAAUAUUAAAAAUAAUUAAUAUAUUUAUCAGUUAUGUCACAUUGCUUUCAUUCAUAUUAAAGAGAUUCAAUUUCAUUCUUAGUAGGGGUUAUUGGUUGUUGUAUUUUAAUGGAUUUGAAAAUCCGAACAAAAUCUAGUGUUAUUGGUUCUAUGAUUUUCAAAUCUGUAUUAAAAUCAUGUGUUAUUGGUUUAAUGAUUCAUAAAUUCUGUAUCAAAUCAAGUGUUAUUCAAUAGUACGGAUUUACUAAUAUAUUUGAUUUUAUAAUGGAUUUGAAUGAAUUUGUUUGGAUUUUUUAGUUAAAAAUACAAAGACUCAAAUCCGAGGAAAAACCUCCGGAUUUGCAUAUUUUACUUGGAUUUAUAAAUAUUAUAUAGAUUUCUAAAUCAAUCAAAAUAUAUAAACCAAUAACACCCCCUUUCAUUCCAUCAGAUUCUGUUAAGUUAAACCAGGAUCAAACCGGACUAAACCAGAAUUAAAUUAAAAUCAAGUAUCUAGCGCCUUUGUAGUUUGUACCACCCAGUGGCUCCAACCACUGGCUCGCCUUCUCCACAGCGGCCUGUUUGCGCCGCUCCGCCAAGCCGCUGGUGAGUUCGCGUCUUUCCGAGCGACGUCCAGUGACCAUUGUCAUUGAUCGCUGCAGACCCGCUAAGAGAGACAGGUUACACUUGGAGAGCACUUUUUAUGGUAUGUAGAGUAUUUGUGGACUCUUCUACCCCUGGUGAGCUAAGACUUAUAUUAAAUUUUGGUUUGAGUGACUAAAUGAAUGUAACUUAGUUUAUGGUUUGACCGAUGAGUUGCAAUUUUUUGUAUUUUUCUUAAUAUAUUUUUAUUAUUUUGAUAAGUUCACCUCUCAUUCCUUUA